rnacentral:rRNA from 1 species
UACGUAGGGUGCAAGCGUUGUCCGGAAUUAUUGGGCGUAAAGCGCCCGUAGGCGGUCUGUCGCGUCGGCUGUGAAAACUCGGGGCUCAACCCCGAGCCUGCAGUCGAUACGGGCAGACUAGAGUGCUGUAGGGGAGACUGGAAUUCCUGGUGUAGCGGUGAAAUGCGCAGAUAUCAGGAGGAACACCGGUGGCGAAGGCGGGUCUCUGGGCAGUAACUGACGCUGAGGAGCGAAAGCGUGGGGAGCGAACAGG